AGCGAACGCUGGCGGCAGGCCUAACACAUGCAAGUCGAACGGAUCCUUCGGGAUUAGUGGCGGACGGGUUAGUAACACGUGGGAACGUGCCCUUUGGUUCGGAACAACUCAGGGAAACUUGAGCUAAUACCGGAUGUGCCCUUCGGGGGAAAGAUUUAUCGCCAUUGGAGCGGCCCGCGUCUGAUUAGCUGGUUGGUGAGGUAACGGCCCACCAAGGCGACGAUCAGUAGAUGGUCUGAGAGGAUGAUCAGCCACACUGGGACUAGGACACGGCCCAGACUCCUACGGGAGGCAGCAGUGGGGAAUCUUGCGCAAUGGGCGAAAGCCUGACGCAGCCAUGCCGCGUGAAUGAUGAAGGUCUUAGGAUUGUAAAAUUCUUUCAGCGGGGACGAUAAUGACGGUACCCGCAGAAGAAGCUCCGGCUAACUUCGUG
rnacentral:rRNA from 1 species